AGCCCUUCGGGGUGGAUUAGUGGCGAACGGGUGAGUAACACGUGGGCAAUCUGCCCUUCACUCUGGGACAAGCCCUGGAAACGGGGUCUAAUACCGGAUAACACCGGCUUCCGCAUGGGAGCUGGUUGAAAGCUCCGGCGGUGAAGGAUGAGCCCGCGGCCUAUCAGCUUGUUGGUGGGGUAAUGGCCUACCAAGGCGACGACGGGUAGCCGGCCUGAGAGGGCGACCGGCCACACUGGGACUGAGACACGGCCCAGACUCCUACGGGAGGCAGCAGUGGGGAAUAUUGCACAAUGGGCGAAAGCCUGAUGCAGCGACGCCGCGUGAGGGAUGACGGCCUUCGGGUUGUAAACCUCUUUCAGCAGGGAAGAAGCGAAAGUGACGGUACCUGCAGAAGAAGCGCCGGCUAACUACGUGCCAGCAGCCGCGGUAAUACGUAGGGCGCAAGCGUUGUCCGGAAUUAUUGGGCGUAAAGAGCUCGUAGGCGGCUUGUCACGUCGGGUGUGAAAGCCCGGGGCUUAACCCCGGGUCUGCAUCCGAUACGGGCAGGCUAGAGUGUGGUAGGGGAGAUCGGAAUUCCUGGUGUAGCGGUGAAAUGCGCAGAUAUC
rnacentral:rRNA from 1 species